GAUUUUGUGUUUGGUACAGGUCUGAUGAUAUUUAUGUUUUGUAAAGGAUAAACUCAGAUUAUGCAAGUUGAUGAUAUGAUUCAGAUGAUGUUAUUGGUUACCUUAACACUGCAGAGUUAUCCAUGGUUUAGAAGAUAAAGACUCCAUGCAACUGAUAUUUGUAGAUUUUCAUUUAGUAAUGCUCAUUCCAGAGAUUACGUGAGGCAUUAUGUUUCCCAUGACAAGUGUGAUCCAACUGCAGAUUUCAGUCUCGGGAAUCGCUAAUGACAAGGAUAAGCUUGGAUUACACCUGCAUGUUAUAGUACGUACCACUUCUUGUCUUCACGCAUCUCUUCUACUCAACUGCCCCAUGUGCAUAAUUUGAGGCUUGAUUAUGUAUAUAUUGAUUCAGGUUUCAGACUUAUAGUAUCAUUCUGCUUCAAGCAGAAA